AUUGAACGCUGGCGGCAGGCCUAACACAUGCAAGUCGAACGAGUGGCGGACGGGUGAGUAAUGUCUGGGAAACUGCCUGAUGGAGGGGGAAAACUACUGGAAACGGUAGCUAAUACCGCAUACCAUCAGAUGUGCCCAGAUGGGAUUAGCUAGUGGGUGGGGUAACGGCUCACCAAGGCGACGAUCCCUGGCUGGUCUGAGAGGAGGACCAGCCACACUGGAACGGUGACACGGUCAAGAAUCCUACGGGAGGCAGCAGGGGGGAAUAUUGCACAAUGGGCGCAAGCCUGAUGCAGCCAUGCCGCGUGUAUGAAGAAGGCCUUCGGGUUGUAAAGUACUUUCAGCGGGGAGGCGUUACCCGCAGAAGAAGCACCGGCUAACUCCGUGCCAGCAGCCGCGGUAAUUC
rnacentral:rRNA from 1 species